AUGACCCACACCGGGCAGGAAUGUUUUUUUGUUUUUUUUUUUAAAGAAAACAAUCUGCCCUCCACUUCAAGGAGCGAUAAAAUGAAAUGGCAGGAGGGGAAGGAGGCAGGGAGAAGGAGACUAUCUCUAGAUCUUGAUGGAGCUCGCGUCUAUAAAUAUGCAUUCGUGUUUAGUCAAGUCUCCUUUGUCAACUUCUUCCCUGCGCUGGAACCUCACCCGCUGUCCUGGAAGCAUCACCUGGGCCCCUUGGCGCCCCCCACUCCCGUUUGCACGCGGGAAAGCCGGCGCGGAGGGCGCGCGUGGGGGUCUGCGGCUGUCCGCGGAACCUUCUGGGAGGCGAGCCGCCGUCCGCCCAGCGCCGAGGCUGGAGCGGCGAGUGGUUUGGUUUUUAAAGAGACCACUGCUCCCCCGAAGAGCCGCUCUGCGCCCGCGGGUCCCCGCCGACGGCACUCCGCACCCACCUACUCCUUGACCGGUGGGGAGGUGGGUGAGGGGGAGAAAAGUUUUGAGGCGCUCUCAUCUCUGCCUCUGGGGUGGUUGAAGUGGUUUGGUUUUGUGUGCCUAAAGCCCCAAAUCCCAAUGCCCAAGAACCGGAGAUUGAUGUUUAGAGGGGUCUCAACAAGGCUUGGCGGCUGGGCUUUGACUGCUAAGUCUGCGACCGUGGAGACGGCGCAGGAAGGCGAGAACAAGCCUCCCCGGAGUCUCAUACCCAUAGGAAGAAACUCCGAAGACGCGCCUCCACGGACUGAGCCGCGUCCCUCGGCAUCCCCAGCAUUUCCCAGAGAGCAACACCACCACCCGGAGAUCAAUGACCAGCCUGUUUAUUCUUCACGCGCCUGGAAGGGCAGGGCACCGAAGGAGCAAGGGAGGGAGGCUUGGGGCUCGCCUGUGCGCGAUCUCUCGCAGACUUUUUUUCUAGCUGGUUUCUAAAGGGCAGCGAACAAGCAAAGAGUGUUCCUUAAUGCACGCAACACAUACCAAUCACAAUAUAUUAGCCUAAAAAAGUGAGACAUCCUCUCUCCCCCCUUCCACCCUUUGUAGAUUUGUCUCUGGAGGUGGGUUGCUAAUACCUGAGAUUUUUGCACUUGUCUAGGGCGGGAACUUUCUGGGGUGUUUGACAAUUGAUUAUUUGGUACCUGCUUUCUAAAAAUGGCUAAACACCUUUCCUUAGAACUAAAAGUGAGAAAUGCAAAUCUUAAUAACUCAAGGCAAAAAUUGCCAAGUGUAAGCAAGGUUAUAAUCCACUCCCACAAAGAAAAACUUCCUCUUCCACAAAUAUUUGAUAGCAUAGAGCCCAGUAAUUAAGAGAACAAUCAAAUAAACUCAAGGCUUUCAUGGGGACUCUAAAUUAU
ensembl:lncRNA